ensembl:lncRNA
AAGGGCUUUUAUGUAUGUUAUAAACUUUUAUCUUCAUCUACCCAGAGAAUGUAUGAAUGUAAAAAUUAUAUAUCACCUUAUAGAUGUCAUAUAUAUAUUUCCAUAUGGGUUUAUGUAGAUUUACAGAUGCAUGUGACAAACACUGACUGAAUUACUGCUCUGCUCUCGUUUCUUAAAGGAUUCUUCUUCAUCUUCGUCAUCAAGUAGCUCCUCAUCUUCUUCUGACAGCGAUGAUGAGAAGAAGAAGAAGAAGAAAAAGAAGAAGAAGCAUAAGAAAAAGGUAAAAUCUAAAAGUAAAAUCUCUCUUUAUUUAAUAUUCACGCUGAGUACAUGAGAAAUACAUGAACCCUGAAUGUAUCUGACCUCUUGACCUCCAUCCUCAGGAGUCCAGCUCCUCUUCAUCAUCCCACAGCAGCUCCUCAUCCUCCUCUUCAGACAGCGAUGAUGACAAGAAGAAGAAGAAGAAGAAGAAAAAGAAGAAGAAGAAGAAGCAUAAGAAAAAGGAGUCCAGCUCCUCUUCAUCAUCCGACAGCAGCUCCUCCUCCUCCUCAGACAGCGACGAUGACAAGAAGAAGAAGAAGAAGAAGAAGAAGAAAACUGAAAAAGACAAGAAGGACAAGAAAAAGAAGAAAGACAAGAAGGAAAAGAAGAAGAAAGACAAGAAGAGUAAAAAGGUGGUUAAUCAUUAGUUAAGACUGGUUUAAACCUGCAGUACUGGUUUAACACCUGGUUAACCUGCAGUGCUGGUGGUUAGUGAAAAAGAUGCAAAGAAAAUGUUGCAACUUGCUUUAUAAAGUCAAUAACUCAAAAAUAAGCGAUUUUACCAGCGUUGUUAAAGUAUAAUUAAGAUGCUUAAAUAUUUUUUAUUAAUUUUGAAUUUAGUUUUUAUUUUGGUAUUUUCAUUUUAAAUAGUUAAAAAAAUUGCAAUUUAGUUUUUUC